rnacentral:rRNA from 1 species
GACGAACGCUGGCGGCGUGCCUAAUACAUGCAAGUAGAACGCUGAAGCUUGGUGCUUGUACCGAGCGGAUGAGUUGCGAACGGGUGAGUAACGCGUAGGUAACCUGCCUGGUAGCGGGGGAUAACUAUUGGAAACGAUAGCUAAUACCGCAUAAUAGUAGAUGUUGCAUGACAUUUGCUUAAAAGGUGCAAUUGCAUCACUACCAGAUGGACCUGCGUUGUAUUAGCUAGUUGGUGAGGUAACGGCUCACCAAGGCGACGAUACAUAGCCGACCUGAGAGGGUGAUCGGCCACACUGGGACUGAGACACGGCCCAGACUCCUACGGGAGGCAGCAGUAGGGAAUCUUCGGCAAUGGACGGAAGUCUGACCGAGCAACGCCGCGUGAGUGAAGAAGGUUUUCGGAUCGUAAAGCUCUGUUGUAAGAGAAGAACGAGU